CGCGUACACGAUCGAACAAUUUGCUCAACUACAAUGUUUGCGCAAACAUUUUGAUGGCGUGUGGAAUGGAGAUUGAGUAGUUGCGCAACCGUUUGAAACGGAGCUUGCGGUUUUCGCGUUAUUUUGCGCAACGCUCGAUGAUUGAUACGCGGUUCGAACGUGUAUGCCGCCAGUGUUUGACGUAACGUAAAACCGUUGACCUCGGGUCGGCUCGAACGACCCGUGAUAAAUAGGUAGGUUUUUUUUUUUUUUUAACUCUUUUGAUAGAGACGCUUAUCAUACAACUAAAAACAAGUGUUCCUAGUAUAGCGACGACAGGACGAGACGGAGAAUUAUCCGCAGUUUCUAUCGUAUUUUAUGGCCAACCUUAUUUUAAACCGUGACGUUUUAACUCGCUCAGUUAAUAUUCUCAUAUUGACAGUGUGAGCAUUCUAUACUCCACUCCGAGUUAUGGACGGCAAAAGCGACAUUUUCAGCGACAUUCCGGUGUUUUGUGUACGCAUAACACUCGUUUGCUUUACGCGAUAUUAUUGAGAACCGUACGGCAUUAUAUUUUACCGUUUACGUUUUG